UUUCCCAGGCUUGUAAUGCUCUAUAUCAGUGGCCCUCAAACAGAAAGAGAGUUGUCCCCAGGAAACACUUGGCAAUGUCUGAGAUAUUUUUGGUUGUCCCACCUGGGGUGCAGCUGGCAUCUAGUUGGUAGAGGGAUGGUACUGAAUGUCCUGCAUGCACAAGACAUGCACAUGUCCUAUAGUAUUUUUCUGUAAUAGCUUAUUAGUUUCAGAAGUUUUUUGUUUGUUUGUUUGUUUUUGUUUUUGUUGGUGACCUUUCUUUUUAACAAAAAUAAACUCCUCUCACAAUGAAGUAAAAAUGAAAUAAAUUGCAGCAUAGCCUAAGGGAAAAUAGUAUAGCCAUUAAAAAUCCAUGCUGGUUAUGUGUAUUCACUGACUUGGGGAGAUAUGUGUACGAGUCAGGUUAGGACAGUGUCUGCUGUGAGACAAACAGCCCCUCCAUCUCUGGUUCAGAGUUAAGUGCAUGCAAAGCUUAUUUCACAUUCAUACAAAACCUCAUGCAAGUUGGAAGACUUUCCAUCCUGACUCCUACCAGCAAUUAGGAUGUUUCUGAUGUAGAAAUGAGCUUGGCAUAGUCUACAGAUGGAUGCUUGAGGAAAAUGGCUAUUGUGGUAAAUAAACAAAAGUUUGGUAGAAGAGUAUAGCAUGUGUAGAAAAGGACUUUUCACUGUCAGCACUACUGACAUUUGGGGACAGAUAAUUUGUUGCUGUGGGGGCUGUCCCAUGCAGUGUCUAGUAGUAUCUCUGGCCUCUUCUAGGGUACAUAACUGGGAGCAUGUGUUUGAGGACCAUUGGUGUAGAGCCUCACAAGCCUGGGAAAUGUAUUUAUAUUGUAUUGUCACUGCAAUGGGAACCAGUGGGAGAUAGGCAGUACAGUGAUAUUAUCCAUCCAUUAUUAACAAUAUGAUUCUGAGCAGGAGCAAAACCAGUAAAGCCAUUAAGAAGUUGUUUCAAUUUUCCAGUCAAAAGAUGACAGUGGCAAGAUGGUAGCAAGGUGCUAAGUACUGCUACUGGUCAACUCUGAGAGCUGUGAGUUGGUAGAAGAUAGAGUUUGUUGUAAAGCUGAAUACUGCAUGCGAGGGAGAGAAGGACACCAAUGAUAAGGAAUCAAUAAUCAACAUAUAUGCCAGUGGCUUCCAAACAUUUAUGUUCAGAAUUGGAUGGAGUUGGGUUUAUGAAAAUUGUCUAAGGAGUUUGUUAAAAUUAUACAUUUUUGCGGCUCACUCCUGGAAAAUCUAGUGUAUCAAACCUGGCGAGUGGCCCGGGAAGCUAUUUUCAACAUAAUUCUUCAGUGGUUCUGGAAGGAAGUUUGGUUUGGAACUCCCAGCAUGCUCAAGUGCAUUUACCUGGGACGGCACCACUGGGGGUCAGUGCUGUGUGUGCGUCCCUCUACUUCCAGAACUAGUAGGCUCUAUCUCUGGACCCAGUUCUCUUCAUGUUUCUAUCCUGAUGCAGAAAAAGACUGGAAUUCUUUAAUAUUUCUCCCUUCACCUUGUCAACAUUUAAUAAAUUUCCAUGAUAAUCAUGAUUCAUUCUUAUAAAGUAAAAUAAGGAAGCCUCAUUCUGAAGCAUAGCUGGCUUCUAUGGAAGAGAAUACAGUGAAGGGUCACACAUGCCAAGGUCUAGUAUAAACCAUCAAAAGCAUCUAUGUGUUCACCACAAGUGACCAAUGACGUGUACAUAAGCAAGGAUCAUUUGGAUGUGCUGGAAAAUUUCCAGGUAUUAAACUUUUUAAAUCAUGGCCAACUUCUUUUUUAAAUGAUAUUUUGGCUUCCAGGCCCAUCUCAAAACCUCCUUGUCCAUCAUCACACAACUGCCCAAGUAUUUCAGUAUGUAUGAUUUCCAGAACCUAAAGUUUCCCACAACAGAGUAAAAAAAUACCUGAGCCAGCACCUCACGGUAAUUCUUAUGCAAAUUAUCAAUCUUAGAGGGUAUGGGAGCCGGUUAAGAAUUCCUAAAGUGGAUUGCUUGAGGAGAUGGAUCUUAUUUCACAGAAUGCUCCAUGUCUUAUGUUACUCUGACAGAAUUAUUAAUAAGCAAUAGAUUUAUCAACACUUACAGGUAACAGAUAUUUGAGGUUGCUAUGGGCCCACAACUGCUCUGAGCAUCUUAAAUGUGUGAGUUUAUUUCUUCCUCACAAAAAGGUGUAAGGUAGAUAUUAACAUUAUCUUCAUUGUACAGAUGAGGAAGCUGAUGGAGAAAGAGGUUAAGCAACUUUCUUAUGUUUUCUGCAAGUCUGCAGUGGAGGGGGAUUCAGAUAGAGCCAGCCUAGUAUGAGCACUCAUCUCAAUGAGAAACUGCUUCUAUCAACCAGAGUUCUCAGAGGAACUGAACCAAUAGAAUGUCUAUAUCCAAAACUAUCUCUUUCUCUAUAGGUGUAUCAUCUCAACACCGAUUUAUCCAUCCAUUACCUGCUUAUCUGUAAUCGAUCUACCUAUCAAUCUACCUAUCUAUCUUCCUGCUGAUCAUCUAUCAUUUAUCUCAAUACCUACUCAUCCAUCCAUCCAUCACCUACUUGUCUGUCAUCUAUUUAUCUACCUACCUACCUACCUAUCUAUCUAUCUAUACCUCAGCCUCCAUUUAUUGCUGUAAUUUACAUUCUCCAUUCUUCAUUCAACUACUGCAAAUACCUAGAAUUUCAGGAAAUGCUAUGCUACUUAUUCAACUCACACACGUGUUGUGUUAAUAGAGAAUUUUUGCAAGAAAAAGCAAAACUGCUGUCACCCAUGCCCUGUGUUCUGAGCCCUUCUAGGUCCUAUAGUAUCUCAAGGUUGGCCCAUCCACUGCCAUCGGGGGCCAUCACAAAUGGCCUGCUGUUUCUGUCUCCACCUGUAUCACACACACGUUUUGGCAAAGAUUCAUUAAGGAUGUCAGCUAGAGGGAAAUUGUAUGUACCUUAUAAAUGACUAGUUUUGAGUAAGACAGCAAAUUUUUCUUAUCAGGUCUACAACCUGGAACGUUUUGUGAGCCAACUCGGGACUCCUUCCUGUUUCAGAAUGGAAAGCCAGUGGCUCCUUUGCUUCAAACCUUCCAGUGAAGCUUUCAGAAGCCCUUUGACGGAGAUUGCAAUCAGCCUCGGCGUUUCUCCAGGGAGACCGGCUGCCUCCUUGGUCAUCGAGACACGACUCUGAAUGACGGAGGAGAUGGACGCCUGUGACUGGCAACCUCAGAAGCAAGGGCAGCUUCCAGCCUUCUCUCCUAUCCUGUGAGGGCCUUUUCUUGCCCUAAGGCAGUUGGGAUUCAGCCACGCAUCCGAACAGCUCGAUGUGGAAAGUUACUGUCAGUACUUAAGGGAGAUUUGUUCUUCUCUUUAAAACCUCAUUUUCUUCCUUGGUUUAAAAAUAGAGUUGAACCUCAUAAACCUAGCCUCAUUUCAGGAUUCCACGGAGCCUUCUAAAUUGUCAAUUGCGAAGGCGAGUCUGCAUACUGCAGAGAUGGUAGAGUGAUGUUGGGUUUUAUUUACUGCAUCAUUGUGCAUUCUGGUUUUUCAUGGUCCAUUUGAUUACAGAAUUUUCCAUUUGUAAAUUAGCUUUUUUUUUUUUUUGAGGAUUCAAAUGCUCAUGGGGUUAUUUCUUGAAGCACUGUAAGUUAUAUCUACACUAUCAUUCCUAAAGAAAUAGCCCAUUCCAGGUAAAUUCCUGAUAACCUCACUAUCAGCCUUCAAAUUCAGACCUCUAGAGAUAAUUGCCUGAGCUGUCAGUCAUAAAGAAUACACAUAUUUGAAUGAUUAUCAAAUUGACCCCAGAUAUCUGCACAAACAGUGUGCACCUGAGUGGAAGAUAGGCAAACCCGAAGGCAGUAUCAAGCCUUUUUCAGGCGGAAAAAUUGUUAGAAAUAUAAAUCAGUUCCUACCGGAUCGUCGCAGAAGCUCAGGGAUUUUUUUCUGACAAUGAUGAUAUGGAAGGUCCAAAGGGAAGUUGUCAGAAGCCUUUAGAACUGUGCAUAUGAAUUUUUUGAGGCAUAGCGGUCUUGAGGAAAGGGAGCCCAUUGGGAUAUUCGCAUCUCUGUGUCCCCCCUGCCAUGUUUCCGAGGGGAGUUUUGCUCAUUGGAGGAACAGCCUGGAGAAGAGGAGUCUGGCUCUAAAAGGGUGCACGAAGGGCCUCCGAUCACCUAGGGUGACCAGACCCACAGGCUUCACUCGGGGCUGUAGGUUAAAACAGCCUCUCCUCACUGCCCAGAAAGGAGACCAACAUGCAAACGGAUUUCUAAACCAUGCGAUUUCUGAAAAGAGGUGCUUUCUUCGGCAACUUGAAUUUCAAGCUUGAUAAAACCAAAACACUGAACCUGCUGAAGUCUGCCUGUCCUAUCUUUUAAUGGAGAGAAGCAAGUACAUUUUGCUUUUGCUUCCAGAAUUUAGUUCCUCGGUUAACUUGGUUAUUUUAGGGAACAGGUCUACAGGUCAACCCUCCAAAAAUUAAAUCGGUGAAAACAGUUGUAAUGUGAGUGCCUAAUGUUUGGUUCAACUGAUGCAAUGAACCAAAAGGUUCCUCUGUUUUUUGUCUGCCUGGAUAUUUAUAUUUACCUACUUGUUAACUGAAUCAAAUACUGAUAAAUAUCUAUGGUUAAGACUUAAAAGAAAAUAAUUUAAAAAAAAAGACUUAACAGGAGUUCCUUUUGUGGCAAAGUGGAAACGAACCCAACUAGCAUCCAUGAGGAUGCGGGUUUGAUCUCUGGCUUCACUCAGUGGGCUGGGGAAUCUGCCAUGCAGUGAGCUGCAGUGUAGGUUGCAGAUGCAGCUUGAACCUGGCCUUGUUGUGGCUGUGGUGUAGACUGGCAGCUAUGGCUCUCAUUUGACCCCUAAGCCUGGCAACUUCCAUAUCCCACAGGUACAGCCCUAAAAAGCAAAAAAAAAAAAAAAAAAAA
rnacentral:lncRNA from 1 species